ACCAUUCCUCCUGACACUAGGGAGCCCAAUGGCUGUCUUAUGUAGGUUGGUGUUGACAAUAUGAGACAAGAGAUCCUGCAAACACCCACAGAAAUCCUCUCCCACUCCGUGACAGAAAACAACUGUGGACUUCUCAGUGCCUUUCCAGGCCUGGCUGGUAUGAAGACUCAGCCUAACACCUUUGCAAAGUGGCAUUUGAGCGAUUUAUAACGAAGACACACCUAACUGAUUAGGGCAGAGCAGACACUUACGCCAAAGAAGCAGACCCUGGUGACAGGCCACAGUCCUCAGCAGGCUGGGGAGCAAGAAGAUCUCGGAUGUGAACUAACCUGUCCUCGUCGUGGAAGGAAAGGGGCAGCCUCCCAACAGACCCAGGCUUCUAUUUCCUCUAUUGCAAAAUGUCCCCAGUGUGGGAAUGUGGCUGGUAAUCUCCGCAGGCACAGAGAACACGAGACGCUGUCUGAUGAACAGUGCCACUGGCCUGCCAGUCAUGUGUAGCGGUGUAUACUUUGUCUUGGGAUCUCCAUUUUCCACCCGACGCUGACGGUUGUUUCUGAUUUUCCUGUUCACUUCAAAUGGCUCCCCGCCCCUACUCCCCACAAAUUUCUGUUCUUCCCUUCUUUACUUGCAGUGGUUCCUAAGUCAUGUCUCAACCAUUUAUACCUUAAGAAGUUCAGCCAGUGUUUGAUUUCCCCGUGGAUGUUACAUUAUAUAUUGUAUGCAUGUGUAUACACAGCAUAGAUUCCACACACAUAGUACAUAUAAACCUAUAUAUAAAAUAAGAGUAGUUCCUCAAUAUGGGAAAAAGGCUUUGUGCCUCAUUAGAGAAUUGCUUAGCUUGGCUUCCUUCUUACAUAUCAGUGUCCUUUUCCUGUCAUAAAAUAAAUCUCAUAAUAGACAAAUUUGGGAACAAGUUUUAAAUAAAAAGUAAAAGUAUUUCUUUUACUCUUUAGAGGGAUAGAAUACUAUCCCUCA